rnacentral:rRNA from 1 species
UACCAGCACCCCGAGUGGUCGGGACGUUUAUUGGGCCUAAAGCAUCCGUAGCCGGUUCUACAAGUCUUCCGUUAAAUCCAGCUGCUUAACAGAUGGGCUGCGGAAGAUACUAUGGAGCUAGGAGGCGGGAGAGGCAAGCGGUACUCGAUGGGUAGGGGUAAAAUCCGUUGAUCCAUUGAAGACCACCAGUGGCGAAGGCGGCUUGCCAGAACGCGCUCGACGGUGAGGGAUGAAAGCUGGGGGAGCA